GGGGAAUAUUGCACAAUGGGCGCAAGCCUGAUGCAGCAACGCCGCGUGAGGGACGACGGCCUUCGGGUUGUAAACCUCUUUUGGCAGGGAAGAAGCGAAAGUGACGGUACCUGCAGAAAAAGCACCGGCUAACUACGUGCCAGCAGCCGCGGUGAUAUGUAGGGUGCAAGCGUUGUCCGGAAUUAUUGGGCGUAAAGAGCUCGUAGGCGGUUUGUCGCGUCUGCUGUGAAAACCCGAGGCUCAACCUCGGGCCUGCAGUGGGUACGGGCAAACUAGAGUGCGGUAGGGGAGAUUGGAAUUCCUGGUGUAGCGGUCGAAUGCGCAGAUAUCAGGAGGAACACCGAUGGCGAAGGCAGAUCUCUGGGCCGUAACUGACGCUGAGGAGCGAAAGCAUGGGGAGCGAACA
rnacentral:rRNA from 1 species